CAUCACCACCAUUUACCUGAAUAAUCUUUCGGGCAUUUGGCGUGUUCGGAAGAUCAACUUCCGAGAGCGAAUAAGUGUAAUCUAACCAUAUUCACAACCCCUCGGAAGGUAACUUUCGAGGGGUUUUU
rnacentral:sRNA from 1 species